GGCUUUCAGGUAGGGGAAGAAGCUUGACUGCAAAAGGCCACGAGGGAACUUUCUGGAAUGUCGAAAAUAUUUAUUCUAUGUCAUGAUUGUGGUUGUGGUUACACGACUGUAUACAUUUGUCAAAUCUUACUGAACAGUACAAUUACAAUUAAUGAAUUUUACUGUAUGCUAAUCAUACCUCAAUAAAGCCGAAAAAAAAAAAAGUCAUUCUGGAGGAGAGAAAUCAUUGCCUGCGGAGGGCCAUUCCAGGGUGGUGAGUGCAUGAGCACUGAAGACACCCGGAGCAGCUGCUGCAAUAAUCUGGGGGAGGAACGUGCAGGCAGAGAGAGCAAGAGGAAGUCAGACUGGGAAACCCCGAGGCAGUUACCCAAACAGCCCACUAACAGCAACUGCAGUCGGCCGCCUCUGGGGAGGAAAGCGGGAGGGGCCACUGCCUUUAAAAAAGAAAAAAAAAAAAAAUCUCUGCAGUUUUGCCAGGGAGCCGCCUCCUGCCUGACUCUCACAUGAUGACCUGGAGGCCAUCUAUGGGUACGGCCCUCAAGCCCUCAACGCUCACCCUCCUUCUAC
rnacentral:lncRNA from 10 species